GUUUCCCACUGGACUUGUCCCCACACACCACGCAGUUCACCACGCAUGCCUUGUCCUCGUCUCCCUCCUCCACAUCACUCCCGGCCUGGGGUGAGCCCUCCUCUUCAUCCCCACGCAGCGUCUCCUGGUGUUCAGGAGGAGGUUGACAGCUCCUCAGUUCUCAGACUCAUGGCUGCCUUCUCUCCAUGACCAGACUUGGGAAGAGGAAUGAACUGCUGUGAGCGUGUGUGUUUGUACCAGGUCACUCUUGUUGAACACCAGCAGGACCUGUCUGAGAGAGCCUCCAUGUCCGCACUCAGGGUGCUCCUGGCUGGGGUUGGGCAACACAGUGCCUGCUGAGGAUCUGGGGGUAGCUGGGUGGAGUCCACCACUACUAGGGUCAGUUGUAUUGAAAGCACCAUAAAUCCAGGGAAUGCCAUACUUUGAGGACGAAGUUUGACAAAAUGUCCCCACGAGAAGGACCACCACCGUGCCACCUUCCUGUUCAAGUGAGAACAGCACAACAGGGUGAGUCCAAAAAAGUUUUGCAUGCUGCUGUAUAAAUAAUGUAAUAUGCCAGGGAGAUAUGUAUACUGUAGCUAAGAAAGUAAUACUAAUUUGGUCCAUUUCCCUCUCAUAACUUAGCCUACUGUUCUGACUUGGUGAUGCACAUGUAGCCUAUAGCCUGUUUUAGAGAAAUGUCCUCAUCAAAUCUUGUUUGCGCUUUAAUUGUCUGCUUAACCUUUAUUUAUCCUACAGUUCUAUCUUGGUGUACAUGGAGAAUACAGUAAAAAUGGCCCAUGUUCUGAAUUCUGUUGCUGCACAUUUCAAAAGUGCUGAACAAAUAGUUAUAUUGACUAUGUCUGUCUUAGCUCGCUCAUUAAUGUCUUAAUCGGAAUUACUCCUCUUAUUAUUAUCUUAUUAUUUAUUGCCUCUUAUCUGCGCAUCGUUUCCUUAUGCCAUAGUUUGUAC